GCUAUCCAUUCCAAGCCCGAAACAUGCUCCAAAGGCCUCCAAAAUGCAUCUUCUUGCAUACUUUGUACAUAGACUCUGAAAACACACGAAAAUGACUUUAAACAUUAAAAUAACUAAGGAAACACGACAUAAAUGCACAAGAACAAGCCAACUAAGUCGCAUAAAUAUGCUCCUAUCAGUGAUGUUAUAAUUUGAGCAACAUGAUGUGAAUAAAGUCUAUUUGAUAGACUUGAUAAAACAUAGAUGUUACUCGAGAAAUGACAAAACAUGACAUGGUCAAUUUUGAAGUAAAGACUUGAAAUUGGACUUAUUGAUAUAGCAAGGCUGUCUCAAUAAUGUUAUAUGGGAAUUAAAUCUCAAAUGUUGUAGAUUUAAGAAAGCAUUUUCCUAUGUCAUAGGAAAUCACUUUCAUAACCCUUAUAAUGAAUGUGUCAUAAAAUCACAAAAGGGACACAUGUAUUGACUUGUGAAGUAGAUAUCCAAAAGUGAAGAACCACAUGUGCUGUCACUUUAAGAUAUUAUUAUAUCCCAGGAUCAGAACCAAAGCAACUGAUAGAGUAUUAUUGUCUUUAAGAAAGAAACAUCAGAGUGGGACUCUGGAAGCGUGCAUUCACUUAGGUUGUUAACCAAAGUGAAAAUAAUCCAUUUUAACAAAUGGAACUUCAUAUUGGAUGAAGUACUAAUCAUAUGAAUGAAUUGUUAGUAUUGUACUACAAUGGUCUCGAGGUUGGAGCAAAGUUUGUAUAAAGUAUACAAACGAAAUAUAUGUCGAUAUAUAGUUUUAGA
rnacentral:lncRNA from 1 species